rnacentral:tRNA from 1 species
AAAUUAAAGCUUUUUUUUUGAAGCUUUUCAUUUACAUUGAGGGGAAUAUUAGAUUAAUAUAAUUUGAU